rnacentral:rRNA from 1 species
GAUGAACGCUGGCGGCGUGCCUAAUACAUGCAAGUCGAGCGAACGGACGAGAAGCUUGCUUCUCUGAUGUUAGCGGCGGACGGGUGAGUAACACGUGGAUAACCUACCUAUAAGACUGGGAUAACUUCGGGAAACCGGAGCUAAUACCGGAUAAUAUUUUGAACCGCAUGGUUCAAAAGUGAAAGACGGUCUUGCUGUCACUUAUAGAUGGAUCCGCGCUGCAUUAGCUAGUUGGUAAGGUAACGGCUUACCAAGGCAACGAUGCAUAGCCGACCUGAGAGGGUGAUCGGCCACACUGGAACUAAGACACGGUCCGGACUCCUACGGGAGGCAGCAGUAGGGAAUCUUCCGCAAUGGGCGAAAGCCUGACGGAGCAACGCCGCGUGAGUGAUGAAGGUCUUCGGAUCGUAAAACUCUGUUAUUAGGGAAGAACAUAUGUGUAAGUAACUGUGCACAUCUUGACGGUACCUAAUCAGAAAGCCACGGCUAACUACGUG